rnacentral:rRNA from 1 species
GCGUCGUUUGCGACGCCCAACACACAAAACAAGCGGUGAGUGCUUUGGGGUGGGGUGACUGCGUACCUUUUGUAUAAUGGGUCAGCGACUUAUAUUCUGUAGCAAGGUUAACCGUAUAGGGGAGCCGAAGGGAAACCGAGUCUUAACUGGGCGUUAAGUUGCAGGGUAUAGACCCGAAACCCGGUGAUCUAGCCAUGGGCAGGUUGAAGGUUGGGUAACACUAACUGGAGGACCGAACCGACUAAUGUUGAAAAAUUAGCGGAUGACCUGUGGC